rnacentral:rRNA from 1 species
UACAACAUGUCACUGAAUGCACCUGAACUUUUCAAAAGGUAAGGAGGGUUGGGCCUGGGUAGUACUUGGAUGGGAGACAACCAGGAAGAACUUGUGAUUUCUAC